AAAAAAACCUUCCCCUGAUCCAUCCCCUUCCACCCCGACUCCCUCCCCUCCAUCGCGCGGCCGGCCUCCCCUCCAUCCCGCCGCCGCCCUCCCUCCCUCCACCCUGUUGCUGCCCUCCCCUAUCCAAGCACGGCACCCACCACCACCCGGCGACACCGCCGCCGCCUCGCCCCUGUCCACCACCAACGCGGACGCCCCGCCCCCAGCCGCCGACACGCCGCAGGCCCGACCCCAACCGGUGACGCGCCGCACCUCCGCCCCCAAAGGAUCCGGCUGAGGCAUAGCCGCCGCCGCGGGCCUCCUCCCGCAGACCCCGCCGCCGCCGCGGGCCUCCUCCCGCAGACCCCACCGCCGCCGCGGGGCUCAUCCCGCAGACCUGCCGCUGCCGCGAGCUCCCAACCGCGUCGGCGACCUCCUCCCGCAUCCCCGUUGCCGGCCACGCCAACGCGCGUCCCUGCUGGAUCCACCUGAUUCAGCGCACCGUCAUCAACCCCGCCAGCCGCCGCCCCUCCAUCCUUCUUCCCCGGAGCCGGCGGCCGCCUUCUUCCACAGAGCCAGCGGUGGCUCCGCCUUCCUCCACUGGAUGUUCCCCGCGGUCAUCAACUGCACCGUUGGUGUGCUCACUGGCUAUGAGAAAUAAAGGAACAGCGGUGAGAAAUUUUGUGUUGUAUGAGCUGACGAUGUUUGUUACAGUGCAGGGAAAUCAAAACACUUCGGCUCCUUCCGCAUGAGCAGUCCAUCACCUUGGUCAUGAGCAGUCCAUCGCCUCGCAAGCUAGCAAUUUGUUGCCGAUGCUGCUCCUCUUGAUCACGUAGACCGAGCUGCUGCUUUGUCGAUUGGCCGUCCUGCACCCUGUCGCCGGCUCCCUCGAGCUCUGCCGCCCUUCUGGUCCAUCCUCUGCCCAUGAACCGCUGGACCCCGAGCUCGACUAGCCUUAGUCGUGUGUGCGAGUAUGCACUGGUGCGCUCUGUUUUUAGUGUGUUCGUGUGUGCGAGCACUGUUUUGGCUGCGUACGUGUGUGGUGUUGUGUUGGAAAGUUCAGCUAUUGUAUCUCGGAAAGAUCUAAUUUAUUUUCAGUAAGGAUACUGCCUCAAUGCCUUCUUAAAUCAAACAUUUAGCUUGC
rnacentral:rRNA from 1 species